UUUUUAGUAUUAUUUUAAUAUGCUUAAAUUAUCAUUAUCUUUAAUAGUUUUCAUAAGACUUUAUUACUCUUAUAUUGAGAGUAUUAUUGAAUACUCUACAAUAAUAUAUUUUUUGUGUUAUUUCACUACUACAAAAUACCCUUUACGGGACACUUUUUUAGGACAUGCACAUAAAUGCAAGUCCUUAAAAAUAUUUAUGAAGUUUUUAGGACACUCAUUGAGAGUCCUAAAAAAACGCAAUUAAGGACUCGCAAUGAGUGUCCUAAAAGAAAAUGCGAGUCCUAAAAAAAUCUGGGCUAUAAAAAUAAGUGUUUUACUUAAUGUUUUUAAGGACUUGCUUUGAGAGUCCUUAAUACUUUUUUAGGACUCGCAAUGAGUGUCCUAAAAGAAUCUGCGAGUCCUAAAAAAUCUGGGCUAAAAAAAAAGUGUCUUGCUUAAUAAAUUUAAGGUCUUUCUUUGGGAGUCCUUAAUACUUUUUUAGGACUCCUAAAAAAGUAUUAAGGACUCCCAAAACAAGCCCUUAAAUAUUUUAUUUAUUAGUAGUAUAAAAUUAGAGUUUUAUAAUCAUAUUUUUUUUAUUUGAAUAAUAUAAUCAGAUUUUUAUUUAUAAAAUAAAAAUAUAUAUAUGUAUAUAAGUGAAAAAUCAUUUUCUUCCUCCCUCCCUACCCGAUCCACUUUCCUUUCUCCCUCUCUCUCUCGCAUGCUCUCUGCUAGCCCGAAUGGCUGCCCUCCGAUGGUCGCUGCCGUGUAGGCACCGGAUCAAGAGUACCAGACACCGCCGAAACUCCAGCCUCACGAGCCCUUCGUUGCCGUUCUCCGCCGCGAGCAAAAGCCUCCAGGCUCGUACGUCACCGCCGUGGCUUCAAGGCCAAUUUCUGGCCUCCUCUGACAUCGUCUCAGGCGAAGGGUACCAUGGGUGAACUCAGGGUAUCAAGACGAACAAAGCCCAUCCAAGGAUCGGGCUUUUAAGUGACCGAAGGAGACGGAAUCAGCUCUCCAGUUGCUGCUUGUAGUCUUCUUCUCGAGACCAAGUUCUAAAUGUCAUGUUCAUCCACAUGAGAGGGGUAUAGUUGAUUUCCACCCUAUAUAUUUCCAUUCAAAUGAGGCUAGUGGAUCUAUGAAACCAAUUACUUAUGGUUCCAUAUAAUUAACGACAGUUGACCAAUCAAGAUUUAGAAGGACUCGAGUUACUGAGGGUGGGUUUUGAUGAAUACAUGAAUUUGGUUCUUGAUGAUGCUGAAGAAGUCAAUGUCAAGAAUUUGGGGCUCGGUAGGGACGGUGGCUGGGCUGGGCUCGGGGCUGGCUGGUGGGGUUCUCAACUUCACGGCGACGACACUAUAGCUCACGGCGGCAACAAGAAAAUAGAUGUAGUGGCGGUAAGAUUCGUGGAUGCUUGGAGAUUGUGUAUCGAUGAUGAAUGGAGUCAAGGAGUCGAGAGUUCGAUUUCGAGGAUGUAGUCAUUUGUUUAUGGUCUUUAUAUGUAUUUUCCGCACUUACUAUGUAAUCCCUUUAUUUUAUAAAUCAUGUUAUGUUUUGUUUUUCAAACAAUGGGAUCCCAUAUCCUUCUUGGUAUUUAUGUAAGUAACUCUUAUUUCUAUAAGUUUUCUAAUAAAAUUAUGGUA